AUGUUUAUUGAGACAAGAAAGAAAUACAUCUGAAAGGGAUAGAAUAGCUUAGGCUAUUUCUACCCUCCUAAUAAUAAGGUAUUACAUGCAUUUAAUGUAAUAAUUUGUCUCAUUUC